CUCCCGUCGUCACUCUCUCUCACUCACUCACUCACUCACUCACUCACUCAUCAACUCCACCGACAACCCCUCCACUAGCCACAACUCUCUCUCUCAGAUCUGAAUGCAUCGUCUGUCCUCGCACGUUGUCACGAUAAUCAGCGGUGGUGCGUUUGGUGGCUUGCGACGAAGAUCUCGGUAGUGGUGGUCAAGGCAGGCGGCAAAGAUCUGAGUUGUGGUGGUGCGUUUGGUGGCACGCGACGAAGAUCUCGGUAGUGGUGGUCAACGCGUGCGGCAAAGAUCUGAGUUGUGGCAGCUGUAACUGAUGGAUGCGACCGGUCUAUUGGAAAUCUUCUUUACACAGUCUCUUCUUGUUGGAAGAAGAAAGCUCACCGAAUCGAGUGAAAUGAGUGGAAUCGGAAAAGAGGGGAAAGAUUGUUUGUUCUUUGAGAUUGAGGUGUGUCUCCAAGAUGUGGCGCUCCAUAAUCGACGAUCCACUUCUCAUUCUCUCUCAUAAUAAACACUGUCAUACUCGACCUGGUGGUGUUAGCCUCCUCAUAAGGGAUGAAGACUUAAAUUCUGAGCUAUACUGUGUAGAUCCAGAGGGUGGAUCAAACAACUUUUUACCUAUUGACGGUGCCUUAUUUGUACUUCAAAUUUUUUGAAUUUGAAGUCCAUGCACAAUAUGUAAACGGCUAAAUGGAUGAUCCGAUGGGUAAAAAACUCUGUUCGGAUGUUUGAUGACAUUUGGGAACAAAAACGCACAGCCAUUCCACCGACGAUGGGUAAAAAAUCUGUUCGGAUGUUUGAUGACAUUUGGGAACGAUCAACACGUGAGUUUUGAGAUUUAUCCAAAACAUUACUUAGGGUUUGAUCCUUCUCCCGGGAACUACAACAUUCUUGGUAAAUGUCCUGUUACUUUUUAUAGUGCCCCCUGCCUAGAAACGGUGACAAAAAUAGUCGAGUACAAUAUUUUGACCAUCUUCAUAAUCGCUUUUGAAGUUGGAGAAGAGAAGUUUCGAUUCAUACUACUCCCUACUGAAUUUUCCAAACAUUGUUUGCAGUCUUCUAAUAUCCAGAUUGUGGUCACCUCGCGAUCUAUCAAAGCCAACUGUUUUCUCAAUUCUAUUAGAUAAUAGUUUCGAUUCAUACCACUCUGAGCAUAGUCUUCUAAUAUCCUCACCUCACGAUCUAUCAAAGCCAACCGUUCUCUCAAUUCUCAAUUCUAUUAGAAGACUAUGCUCAGAGUGGUGUGAAUCGAAACUAUUAUCUAAUAGAAUUGAGAGAACAGUUGGUUUUGAUACAAUCUGGAUAUUAAAAGACUAUGCAAACAAUGUUUGGAAAAUUCAGUAUUUCGUCUUUCCAGAUCAUUAUGAUGGAACACCAUUUAUUGAUGAAGAUGGUGAAAGGAUACUAGUGAGACUACUAAAUUCAAAAUGUUCAAAGAAUGAUGAUUGUGAUUGGGUAUAUGAUCCGGAAUCGCUAUCACCAAAAUUGUUCUAUUAUAACCUGGAAAGUAAAAGAUUGAGGAUGGUCAAUUCCUUAUCAAACAUACCAGAUGAAGCAUUCUACGCCAAACAUGUGGAGAGCUUAUUUCGAUGUAAAUUGUAGCUGAGAAAAAGGCAACUCUUCCUCUGAUUUUUUAUUUUUAUUUUUAUUUUUUCAUAAGUAGAAUUCUUUACAGUAGGAUUGAAUAUUUGUUCAGUUCAGGAAUUAGUAUUGGAAUUCUUAGAUGCUCAAAGAGCUCUUAUGUGCAUUAUUAUUUGCUCAUAUUCUUAUAGAUUGGUAAACCAAGAUUCUCAAAUUCUACUCUUUAUUGCAUUAAUGAUUAUUAUGAAAUUGUGACUAAAUCUGUUUUAGUGUGAUUAUUAUGAUACA